UACGAAGGGUGCAAGCGUUAAUCGGAAUUACUGGGCGUAAAGCGUGCGUAGGCGGUUGUUUAAGUCUGUCGUGAAAUCCCCGGGCUCAACCUGGGAAUGGCGAUGGAUACUGGACAGCUAGAGUGUGUCAGAGGAUGGUGGAAUUCCCGGUGUAGCGGUGAAAUGCGUAGAGAUCGGGAGGAACAUCAGUGGCGAAGGCGGCCAUCUGGGACAACACUGACGCUGAAGCACGAAAGCGUGGGGAGCAAACAGG
rnacentral:rRNA from 1 species